rnacentral:rRNA from 1 species
AUUGAACGCUGGCGGCACGCCUAACACAUGCAAGUCGAGCGGCAGCGCGAUUAGUAGCAAUACUAAUUGGCGGCGAGCGGCGGACGGGUGAGGAACACGUAGGAAUCUACCCUCAAGCGGGGGAUAACUAAGGGAAACUUUAGCUAAUACCGCAUAAUCUCGAGAGAGAAAAGCUGCAGCAAUGUGGCACUUGAGGAGGAGCCUGCGUCCGAUUAGCUAGUUGGUGAGGUAAGAGCUCACCAAGGCGAUGAUCGGUAACUGGUCUGAGAGGACGACCAGUCACACUGGGACUGAGACACGGCCCAGACUCCUACGGGAGGCAGCAGUGGGGAAUAUUGGACAAUGGGGGCAACCCUGAUCCAGCGAUGCCGCGUGAGUGAAGAAGGCCUUCGGGUCGUAAAGCUCUUUAGGUUGGGAAGAAGGUUAUGGGAGGAAAUGCCUGUAACUUGACGGUACCGACAGAAUAAGCACCGGCAAACUCUGUGCCAGCAGCCGCCGUAAAAC